rnacentral:rRNA from 1 species
UACGUAGGGGGCAAGCGUUGUCCAGAUUUAUUGGGCGUAAAGAGCGUGUAGGCGGCCAGGUAGGUCAGCUGUGAAAACUCGAGGCUCAACCUCGAGACGUCGGUUGAAACCAUCUGGCUAGAGUCCGGAAGAGGAGAGUGGAAUUCCUGGUGUAGCGGUGAAAUGCGCAGAUAUCAGGAAGAACACCCGUGGCGAAGGCGGCUCUCUGGGACGGUACUGACGCUGAGACGCGAAAGCGUGGGGAGCGAACAGG